GGGCGAGUAGUGUAGUGCUAACACGCACCAGCAAUUCUUCACAAAGCUGGUGAGCGGUCAGUCCGAUUCUGAUCUCGUCCA